UACAGAGGCCCCAAGCGUUACUGAGAAUCACUGGGUUAAAGGGUGCGUAGGUGGCGCGUUAAGUCCGUUGUGAAAUCCCUUGGCUCAACCAAGGAAAUGCUUCGGAUACUGGCGUGCUUGAGGCUAGUAGGGGUCACUGGAACUGACGGUGGAGCGGUGAAAUGCGUAGAUAUCGUCAGGAACGCCGAUGGUGAAGACAGG
rnacentral:rRNA from 1 species